rnacentral:lncRNA from 1 species
UUUGAUUAAUGAUGUCAGAAAGAGGUAAGAUAUAAAUAAUUCAUAUAAUCCUUAACUAUAUUUUGGACCUUCGAUGCAGUUAGGGUGUUUAUACUAUUCAUUCUCGAAUGUUUCUAUUUACGUUUGGUUAAUGAUGUCAGAAAGAGGUAAGAUAGAAAUAAUUCAUGAUAAUCCUUAACUAUAUUUUGGACCUUCGAUGCAAUUAGAGUUUCUAUACUAUUCAUUCUUGAAUGUUUUUAUUUACGUUUGGUUAAUGAUGUCAGAAAGAGGUACCCCCCUUCCCAAAAGAAAACUGGAUAUCUGCAACAACUAGAAACAAAU